AUGGUAACGUGAAGCUGCUUCAGCAGAGUCAAACUUUCUACUCUGGCGUUCUAGUGUGCUGUGGGCUCCUUCAAGACCACGGCAGCCACCAGUUACAGAACGAGUCACCCCGGGCCGAUAAUUAUGUAACCCAGUGGGUGCCACACACACCUGUGCCCUGCUUCCUUCUCUCCUGUUCCAGUGCAGUUUUAAGCUCAAAAGCAGAGGAGGGUGAUGCUCUGUUCCCGGCUGCAAUUAACUCCAGAAAUAUGUGUCCUUUCGCAGUGAAGUCAACCUCUGUGCACAGACCUGGGGAGUCUCUGAGGAGAUUGGCACUGGGCUCUGAGAACUGAUAAAAGGCUUCUAGAUCCCAACAUGAACUGAAGACCAGCAACUCUCCAGGAAUCCUCGAGGCCUCACUCCAGCAACAGACUAGGACUGUAGAGACAUCCAGCCUCCGGGCCUGAACAACUAUCGGAUUCUCUGUCUUCAGUCAGGAGACAGCUAUGACUAGACAACCCAGACUGCAUCCUAUUGCUGCAGCGCGAUCCGACUCUGCUCCGAAAUGAAAUUAAUUCUCAACAGUUCUUCUGCUGUGUGAAGGCACGAAAAUUGAGCUUCUUCUGUAUGCAAUGCUAGAAAUAUGCCUCAUUUCUCCUUCAAGCCACAAAACGGGUCUCUCUCUCUCUCUUUCUCUUUCUCUCUCUCUCUCUCUCAUCCCCUUCCCUCUCCCCUUCCCCCUCUGUUAUCCAUUUUCUUUAAUACCAUGAAAUUGCAAUUAGCCUAUAGGGCACAGACUAAUCAGCACAGAGAUUGCCACAUGGAAGUCAGUCUAGGCAAGAAAGAAGGGAGGGGCAGCUUCCACAACACGAGAUGAACUGGAAAAGCCAACAGCGCUCCAGUGCAGCCCCCCCCCCCCCAGAGCUCUCACGUUGUCUCUGGGAGUUGAACCUUGUCAAGAAGCACUGAGGACUCAAGGGACUAUGCUGUUACUUUCUGAACCGGCUGCCUUCUGUGUCUGCAUAGAGGAGGUAGCAUUUGUGAGUAAGCCUGGCUAAGGUCUGUCCUAGAUGGGCCAUAGGACUGACUCCACCCAGGAGAAUUCUAAUAGAAAGUGACAGGUCUGAUGGGAAUAAGCCUCUCAUGAGAGAGUGCUAGGUCGCUAGGGAAGGUCUGAGCUCACCUUUCCAGUGUAUUCUUACACCUCUAUGUCGAAAGGGACUCCCUAAACAGGAAGCCCAGAGGAAGGCACCUAUGUGCUGUUCUCAGGCCACGAACAGAGCUACAAGCGUCUACUCUGGUUUUGGGUUUGGUUUGGGUUUUUGCACGGUACCCUAACUCCAUCAUCUAAAGCAUUCACUGAACCAUAAACAUGUAUCUCUUAAA